UAGGUCUCAUGGUCAAAGCAGGGUUCCUA
rnacentral:piRNA from 1 species